rnacentral:rRNA from 1 species
GUGCCAGCAGCCGCGGUAAUACGUAGGUGGCAAGCGUUGUCCGGAUUUAUUGGGCGUAAAGCGAGCGCAGGCGGUUUCUUAAGUCUGAUGUGAAAGCCUUCGGCUCAACCGAAGAAGUGCAUCGGAAACUGGGAAACUUGAGUGCAGAAGAGGACAGUGGAACUCCAUGUGUAGCGGUGAAAUGCGUAGAUAUAUGGAAGAACACCAGUGGCGAAGGCGGCUGUCUGGUCUGUAACUGACGCUGAGGCUCGAAAGCAUGGGUAGCAAACAGGAUUAGAUACCCUGGUAGUCCAUGCCGUAAACGAUGAGUGCUAGGUGUUGGAGGGUUUCCGCCCUUCAGUGCCGCAGCUAACGCAUUAAGCACUCCGCCUGGGGAGUACGACCGCAAGGUUGAAACUCAAAGGAAUUGACGGGGGCCCGCACAAGCGGUGGAGCAUGUGGUUUAAUUCGAAGCAACGCGAAGAACCUUACCAGGUCUUGACAUCCUUUGACCACUCUAGAGAUAGAGCUUUCCCUUCGGGGACAAAGUGACAGGUGGUGCAUGGUUGUCGUCAGCUCGUGUCAUGAGAUGUUGGGUUAAGUCCCGCAACGAGCGCAACCCUUAUUACUAGUUGCCAGCAUUAGGUUGGGCACUCUAGUGAGACUGCCGGUGACAAACCGGAGGAAGGUGGGGACGACGUCAAAUCAUCAUGCCCCUUAUGACCUGGGCUACACACGUGCUACAAUGGAUGGUACAACGAGUUGCGAGACCGCGAGGUUUAGCUAAUCUCUUAAAACCAUUCUCAGUUCGGAUUGUAGGCUGCAACUCGCCUACAUGAAGCCGGAAUCGCUAGUAAUCGCGGAUCAGCAUGCCGCGGUGAAUACGUUCCCGGGCCUUGUACACACCGCCCGU